rnacentral:rRNA from 1 species
GACGAACGCUGGCGGCGUGCUUAACACAUGCAAGUCGAACGGAAAGGCCCUGCUUUUGUGGGGUGCUCGAGUGGCGAACGGGUGAGUAACACGUGAGUAACCUGCCCUUGACUUUGGGAUAACUUCAGGAAACUGGGGCUAAUACCGGAUAGGAGCUCCUGCUGCAUGGUGGGGGUUGGAAAGUUUCGGCGGUUGGGGAUGGACUCGCGGCUUAUCAGCUUGUUGGUGGGGUAGGGGCUUACCAAGGCUUUGACGGGUAGCCGGCCUGAGAGGGUGACCGGCCACAUGGGGACUGAGAGACGGACCAGACGCGUACGGGAGGCAGUAGUGGGGAAUAUUGCACAAUGAGCGGAAGCCUGAGGCAGAAACGUCGCGUGCGGGAUGACGGCCUUCGGGUUGUAAACCGCUGUCGCCUGUGACGAAGCGUGAGUGACGGUAAUGGGUAAAGAAGCACCGGCUAACUACGUG